AUUUGUGUGUUAUACUAAGUAUGUAGUUUUUGGUAAUGGUAAAUGUUGGUAGCUUGUUUCAACUUAAGAACAUCUCCCAAAUUUUCACCUUAACAACGAAUUGCAAAAUAUGUGUGUGAGACACAAGGAGGAUUUUUAAUUAUGGAAACAGGUACAGUAAAAUGGUUUAACUCAGAUAAAGGUUUUGGAUUUAUCACUGCAGAAGACGGUAAAGAUGUAUUCGUACAUUUCUCAGCUAUCCAAGGCGAAGGUUUCAAAACUUUAGAAGAAGGUCAAGCAGUGACUUUCGAUGUUGAAGAUGGACAACGUGGCCCUCAAGCAACUAACGUUAACAAAGCUUAAUUUAAACUAAAAUUAGUAAAAGACGAAGCCUCGGCUUCGUCUUUUUUG
rnacentral:sRNA from 1 species